GCAGGCAGUGAGGCUCUGCAGGAAUCUCACACGGUCUGCCCUGGCGCUCCCUUCUCAUUGCCACCAUGGCUGGGGACCAGGACGAGCGGCCCCAAGGCAAGGGGCCAGGGCAGGGGGCCACUGGCACGGGUGCAGCUCCCUGAGGACUGCUGCUUGGGGGCCUGGUCAGGAGUGUGGCAGGAGGGGAGAGGAAGCAUGUUCUCUUCCAGCAGAGUUCCUAAGACCUACUGUGUUUAGGCCCUGCCAACAACAUGCUCAUCUAGUGGGGAAGAUAGUCACAGAGGGGGUGAUGAUGACACAGUGCUGCAAUGGAGGGAGAAACAGGGGGCUGUGGGAGCACAUUAGCAGGUUUGCCUGAGUCUGCGCUGGGAGGGGAAUUCUCCAAAGAAAAGUGUAAUGGGGAGGUACGUUUGAGCUUGUUCUUUGAGAGCAUCUAGGAACUUAUCAGACGGAAGAAGUCAUUCCAGGAAGACAGAAAGGACUGUGUGGUGGCUAAGAAUCUAGAAAAACCUGCUAUGUUUGCGUAACAGUAAAAUGGUUGAUUAUGAGGUUGAGAGUUUGGUGGCUUUAAAUUAGUGGAAGAAGAAAUGGACCCCAGGACCAAGGGUGGUAUGCAGAGAUCAUAUUUGGCCAAGUAGCUUAUUUGAGACAGGCAGUGACAAUACAUCAAUUUGAUGAGAUAUUCCACAGCCCCUAAAAGUGACCACCAGAAGGAUGAUGUUUGGAAUGUGACACUGAAUGAGAAAAGCUGACUAAAGAGUGUGGACACUGCGAUUUAAGCUACAGUCACAUAACAAGCAAGAACGCUGGUGGAAAAUUACAGAAAAGGAGUAGGUGAGUCUGAAGACUAUUCUCGUGUGGGGCGGUCAGAUUGCGGAUGAUUUAUUUUCCAUAUACAGAUUUUAUUUAACAUUGUUGUUACAUUGCUUUUCAAGGAGAAAUCUGUGUUUUUAAUCAGGUUAAAAAGAAAGGAAAAGUAUCUGGAAUUUACUUAAUUGGAGAGAGGUGACUCGUCCCCCUUUCCCCUCACCCUGUUUUUCUCUGCCGUCCCUAUUACCACCUGAUGAGUCACUGGUUUAUUUGUGUAUUGACUGUCUAUUCUCGUAGAAUAUAAGCCCAGGAGGGACGGAUUUUGUUUUGCUCACUGCUCAUUCUCAAGCCCUAGAACAGCAUCUGGCACACAGUAGGCAUUCAAUAAAUAUUGAGUGAAUGAAUCAAUACCUCCUAUCCUCUAGGCCCAUGGCUGGGUGACAACUGGUGCCAGUACAGGUUAUGUUCCUGGGCGUAUCCAGAUGUCCUUCUUGGGGAAGGGCAGUGCUGUAUUGCACAAACUCACCCGGGAACCUUUAGGAACCAUCCAUAGGUGACUGGCUCCCUCCUUAGCAUUCCCUAAAUAUCAUGCUGACCUCAGGUGCGGUGCUGGCCACCUGCCUUAGGAUGGUUUAUACAGAUAUCCCUUACUGGACAGGGAGCCACUGUGGGAAGGAUCGUGUCAACCUUCACUUUUUACCCAACACUGAGAAUUGGCAUGUAAUGAGCACUCAGCAAAUGUCCACUAUCUCCUUUCAUGUACAACAUCCAGAACAUUCCCUCAAGAAUCUCUCUUGUCCCAGAAGGAAUCCUGUCUGUAUUCACUAUCCUAGGGAAAAUCAUUGCUUCCACUCUAUCAGAGUGAGUCCCUCGAGGCCCAAGAGCCCAGAAAGCCAGCACACGCCUCUGCACACUUUAGAAACUGCAAACUUUAGACCUUGGCCUGGUUGGGAGAAAGGUGAAGG
rnacentral:lncRNA from 1 species